ACCUACUUUACCCGGGUAACUUAUGUGUAUGAAUUCUUGCACAUACUUUACCCGGAUAACUUAUGUGCUUGAGUUUGUAUGGGCUGCAUGUUGACACUUUGGCUUCUUCACAUGCUGCAUGCAGGCCAAUUUCCAACACUCCUCCUUGGCUUGCAUGCUGCAAACUCUUGUUCUUUAAGCAUUCUCUGAUGAUUUGGUUCACUAAAUCAUUUUUCUCAUCUCCUUUUGCUUCCAAAUCUCUUUGAAGGUCCUCGACCAUUUGCUUCAACUCUGAUUUUUGAUUCUCCAUUUCAUUCAGUUUUUCGGAUGACUUUUGUUUCUUUC
rnacentral:lncRNA from 1 species